rnacentral:rRNA from 1 species
AGAUCAAGCUUGCUUUGGUUUGGUGAGAGUGGCGCACGGGUGCGUAACGCGUGAGCAACCUACCCUUGUCAGGGGGAUAGCCCGGCGAAAGUCGGAUUAAUACCGCAUGACAUCAUUGAGAGGCAUCUUUCUAUGAUCAAAGAUUUAUCGGACAAGGAUGGGCUCGCGUGACAUUAGCUAGUUGGUAAGGUAACGGCUUACCAAGGCUACGAUGUCUAGGGGCUCUGAGAGGAGAAUCCCCCACACUGGUACUGAGACACGGACCAGACUCCUACGGGAGGCAGCAGUAAGGAAUAUUGGUCAAUGGACGGAAGUCUGAACCAGCCAUGCCGCGUGCAGGAAGACGGCCCUAUGGGUUGUAAACUGCUUUUAUACGGGAACAAACGUCGGUACGUGUACCGGUCUGAGUGUACCGUAAGAAUAAGGAUCGGCUAACUCCGUGCCAGCAGCCGCGGUAAUACGGAGGAUCCGAGCGUUAUCCGGAAUUAUUGGGUUUAAAGGGUGCGUAGGCGGCCAGAUAAGUCAGGGGUGAAAGUCGGCAGCUCAACUGUCGCAGUGCCUUUGAUACUGUUUGGCUUGAAUUCGGUUGAAGAUGGCGGAAUGAGACAAGUAGCGGUGAAUGCAUAGAUAUGUCUCAGAACACGAUUGCGAGGCAUUAUCUAAGC